rnacentral:rRNA from 1 species
GGAUCCAGACUUUGAUUCUGGCUCAGGAUGAACGCUAGCUACAGGCUUAACACAUGCAAGUCGAGGGGAAACGACAUCGAAAGCUUGCUUUUGAUGGGCGUCGACCGGCGCACGGGUGAGUAACGCGUAUCCAACCUGCCCACCACUUGGGGAUAACCUUGCGAAAGUAAGACUAAUACCCAAUGACGUCUCUAGAAGACAUCUGAAAGAGAUUAAAGAUUUAUCGGUGAUGGAUGGGGAUGCGUCUGAUUAGCUUGUUGGCGGGGUAACGGCCCACCAAGGCUACGAUCAGUAGGGGUUCUGAGAGGAAGGUCCCCCACAUUGGAACUGAGACACGGUCCAAACUCCUACGGGAGGCAGCAGUGAGGAAUAUUGGUCAAUGGACGAGAGUCUGAACCAGCCAAGUAGCGUGCAGGAUGACGGCCCUAUGGGUUGUAAACUGCUUUUAUAAGGGAAUAAAGUGAGUCUCGUGAGACUUUUUGCAUGUACCUUAUGAAUAAGGACCGGCUAAUUCCGUGCCAGCAGCCGCGGUAAUACGGAAGGUCCGGGCGUUAUCCGGAUUUAUUGGGUUUAAAGGGAGCGUAGGCCGGAGAUUAAGCGUGUUGUGAAAUGUAGAUGCUCAACAUCUGCACUGCAGCGCGAACUGGUUUCCUUGAGUACGCACAAAGUGGGCGGAAUUCGUGGUGUAGCGGUGAAAUGCUUAGAUAUCACGAAGAACUCCGACUGCGAAGGCAGCUCACUGGAGCGCAACUGACGCUGAAGCUCGAAAGUGCGGGUAUCGAACAGGAUUAGAUACCCUGGUAGUCCGCACGGUAAACGAUGGAUGCCCGCUGGUGGUCUGAAUAGGUCAGCGGCCAAGCGAAAGCAUUAAGCAUCCCACCUGGGGAGUACGCCGGCAACGGUGCAACUCAAAUGAAUUGACGG